CAUUGCUUUGGUAUUGGGUCACCUGCUUGCAUUAAGGGACGUUGUGAGAAAUUGGUGCUUGUACAAAGGUUGUUACUGUCUCCUGAGCUCUUGCAAAGACAAAGUUUGCAACAACCAACGCUAUUGCUUCUGAGGACCUGGAGGAGAAAUUCUUCUCAGGUGUCAGCCAUAGAAGAGGCAGGCCACCUGCUAAAUGACUCACCUGCAUUUAUCUUACUGCUGGUGGGAAUUUUGUAGCUAACCCUGUUCCUCUCUUUGCUUUGUGAGCUGGAAGCUUGGGGCCAAGUUCGCGAGCCACCUCUGUCAGCAAUGAACUCUCCAGCUUCAUUUUUUUCCUACUUAAAAUUUUCAUUUUCCUGUUUCCCUCAACAACUUAGUCCAGCAUCUUGAAUUACUUGCAUUUUUGGAAGUUACAUCAAAUCCUUGGUGGACUGAGGCAAAAUAUAAAGGAAAUAUGGAGAAAACAGGGAAAUUAUCCUGAACUAUUUGGGUGAGCCGAAUGUAAUCACAAGAGUCCUUAAAAGUAGAAGAGAGAACCAGAGAGACGCAGCUCGAGAAUCCAGGACUCUACAACCCGGCCUAACUUUCCCAUCUCUUCUAUCUCUAACCCCUUCACCACCCCUAUUUCCCUCCUCCCUCUCCCCCUGCAAUGCCCACUGGACUGCUUGGCCUGGAGUUCUCAUGCUUCAGGCACUGGAAUGCUAGCCUUCAGCCUGCCAUGUCCUGUCCCUCCCUGACUCCUCCCCCAACCUGUCCACCUGCUGAUCUCCUACUCAUCAAUAAAGACCCAACUCAAUGGUCACCUCCUCCCAGGAGCCCUCCUCAAUUCCACUCCUGUCCUGCCCGCUGCUCUGCGUCAGACAGGAAAGGCCCCUGGCUGAGAACACUCAUGCAGUAGGUUGUUACAUCAGCAUUGAGAGUUUGUUUUUCUACAGCUCCCCCCCGGAACCAACAUUUUGAAGGCAAACAGUCUUGGUCACCUUUGCCUCCCCAGUGCCUAGCUCUUAGUAAAUGCUCUCCUAGUAGAAUGAAAUGGAACAAAAACACAAGGACACAACCACAUUGCCCACACUGGCAGGUCUUUCACCAUCUGUAAAAAUCCUGUGUCGACAAAUUGGAGGCAGCACAGGGUCAAGAGGCUGGCUCUGCCACCAGCUCACCUGGACUCCCUCCAGCUCUGCCGCCACCAGCCAUGUGGCUGUGGACAAGUUUUUGGAUGUCUCUCUGCAUCCCUUUCCUGACUAUAAAACUAGGAGUCAGGUAGAAAGCAUCUACAUUUCAGAGCUCCCAGGAGAAAAUGCCAAGACUAAGCACUCAAUAAUUCUAUGUUAGUAUUUACUUAUUACCUAUUAAAAGAAGCCUCCAUUUUCACCAAAGUCUAAAAAUGACACGAGUUUCAGCUUUUACUACUAAUGGAGAAAAAUUCUUUUGCGACCAUAAAGGCCUGAUGGCUUGCCAAGGUGCAUCUACCUUUUUUAGGUCUUCUUCUCUCCCAGCACACCUUCCAGCCUUCAACGGUCCUGUCUUUGGAUGAAGUUUGCUUCACAUGUGGAGAUUACUGGAAUGUGAUUCUUACGGAGUCAGAGAGCAGCCAGCACACCACUCUUGAAAUCAAAAAGCUUGAAGGGCAAGCAGGGUCCAAGCCGAAGUUUGCAGAAAAAUCACCAAGGAAAUGUGCUAACACACACCUGGAGCUCACCCACCCCCCCCCCCAUACCUCUGAUUCCAUGGCAUCAACAAGACCCACCCCCACGCAGUGCGGAUGCAGGGAGCGCCUUUAGAGAAAGCCUGGAUGGUGAUCCUGAAGUCCUUUCUUGCUGGAUGCCUCAACAGAACUCCUGCGGGAACGCUGUAUGAAUUUCUGGCUCAACACUGACGAAUUCCAACUCCCCCACCCCACCCCCAACCUACAGAGGACCGCACGUGCCUUUGCCAGCCACAUCCAUUCCCCUCCUUCUGCAAUAGCAGCCACACUUGGCCUUUGGGACAUAGCACACAGUGAUGGUGGCAUUGUCAGUCGAGGUCCCCGGCCCCACUGCCCAGUCAGCUGGUGCUGCUCCCUGCAGAGGCCACCCAUUCACCCCUGCUCCCCAGUCGGCGCAGCAGCCCCUCUCAGGCUGGGUUCUUCAGCUUUCCAUCUGUCUGUGAGCUGCCCCCAACCCUUCUUGCAAAUUCCUUUCUUGGUUUUAUGCCAGCUGAUGUUAGUUUCCAUUGCUUGCAAACACCUGAAUGGCUGCUCUGUCUGUGACCUGGUCCCUAGAUGAGGCGCCAAGGGAAGGAAUGUAACAGAUGUUGGCCAAGAGGGUUUCCCAGGAAGGGCUGCCUCCAAAAUAGGAACGAAAGAAAAACUGUGUCAUGUUCUGGGUUUCUACAAUAACAGCUAUCAAUAUUCAAGCUGCUUCCGGAUGAUUUAACAUGAAAGAGCAGCCCUCGAAGGCAGAGACCUGCCUCUUGUGAGCAGCAUUUUAAGAGGAUGAAAAGCAUCCGAGAGCCUGAGUGACAUGAGGGGCCCUGGGCCGCGCUGCUCAAGCGGCAGCAAGAGAAAUGUGGGAAAUAUAAAAAGCAGCAAAUUCUUCUCUGUGGGGUCCUGGGCCAGAUCUUCUGUAGGCACUCGGCGCAUUGGAGACCCAGGAACCUUUCUGGGGUUUAGAUUUUGUGUCCGGCAGGUCGAUGCCCACUUGGUGACUGCAGGAGGGACCCAGGAUGGAGGAGACCGGGCUGCAGACUCCAGCAGAAAGAAAAUGAUCCCACAGAAAAAGAAAGAAUUGCAGGGAAAAACAAAGACUAAUGGAAAAUUUCCCUCUUUGGUUGGAUGCACUUGGUUGCCACCAGUUCCAGUGACAGCUUCAGGGCCCAUUCCAACUGCUUCUUACUAGUGAAUGUCAGCUCUGUAAAAGCAAGGACUUUCCUUUGAUCACUUCAUCUCCAGCACCAAGAACAGUGCCUGGCAUGUUGAAGGCAUUCGAUAAAUAUUGUUGAAUUGAUGAAUAAAUGCAUUUUUAUGAAUUAUUCCACACAUUUAUGAAUUUUUCAGUAAUUAUUCAAUAC
ensembl:lncRNA